rnacentral:rRNA from 1 species
UACGUAGGGGGCAAGCGUUGUCCGGAAUCAUUGGGCGUAAAGCGCGUGUAGGCGGUUCGGUAAGUCUGCUGUGAAAGUCCAGGGCUCAACCCUGGGAUGCCGGUGGAUACUGUCGGACUAGAGUACGGAAGAGGCGAGUGGAAUUCCCGGUGUAGCGGUGAAAUGCGCAGAUAUCGGGAGGAACACCAAUUGCGAAGGCAGCUCGCUGGGACGUCACUGACGCUGAGACGCGAAAGCGUGGGGAGCAAACGGG